AGGCCAUUUGUGACUUCUUUAAACUAGUCGAAGCUUUUGAUGGUUAUCUAGCCUUUGAAGAAAACCAAUUGCAAAAAAAUUUUGCCUUAGAACAAGUGCGUAAAAGUAACUUAGAAAUUGCUAACCUAAUGCGCACUUUAAAGACCAGCACAAGCACAGCGGAACAGCUAAAAAUCCUCAUAAACAGUGCUGACUUUAAAAAGCAAUCGCUCAACUUUCAGCGCUUUUGUUUAGUCAAACUAGACCAUCCUGACUGGUCAUUGGAACAAAUUGCCCAGUUUUUUGAAAGGAAAUACAAAGUGCAAAUUACCCGUUCGGGAAUUCAACACCUCA
rnacentral:sRNA from 1 species